UUAAUACUUUGUUAUAUAUACAUAUAUAUACAGAUAAAUAUAUAUUUUAAUUCAUAGAAUUUAUAUAACUUAACCUAAUAAAUAAGAUAUAACUUUUAUCAUAUAUAACUUUAUAAUAACUUAUAUAGGUUAUAUUAUACUUAUUUAUCAUCUCAUAUCAUCUCAUCUCAUAUCAUCUCAUCUAAUUAAAUAACACUAUUAUUAAUUAUAAUUAAGAUUAUGACAUAUUAUAUAUGACUUAUGUAACAAUUAAAUAAACAUCAUAUUUAAAUUUAUUAUAAGGUCAUUUAAAUAUAAACAUUAAUGACUUAAUAUAGUAUAUAAAAUAAGCCAUAUACAAGUAAUAUGAUGAUAUGGGUAUUACAAACCGAUAAUACACGAAGAAAUUAAUUAUGUCAAUGAUAAUAAAAAUAUAGAGGUACUAGCAUUAUAAAAAUCUAUAUUAUUUAAAUAAAUGUUACGAGUUAUUAUUAUAUGUCAUGACAUUAGGGGAAUAUGUAUGUAAUAGAUAAGACCUAAAGUUUAAGAUAAUGAAGAUAUGAAAGAUAUAAAUAUACUUAAUUAAGGAAAAAGAUAACAAGAAUAAAUAAGUAUAUGAAAAAAUAGAGGUAAAUAAAAAAGUAUAGAAGUAAAGUCAAUACAAAUAGAAGGUGAUAUAUUGAAAAUUGGUAUAUGUAAAUAAUGUUAAUUUAAGGAUUAUUAGACUAAUUUAAAAAAAGAAGAUAAAAAGACGUAAGGUCAAUCUGAAACAUGAAAAUGUAAAGGAAAAGCAAGUGGAAUGAAACAUCUGAGUAACUUGUAAAAAAACCAACAGGGAGAAUAUAAGUAACGGUGAGUGAAAGUAUAAAAAGGAUCAAAAAUUAAUACUAAGAAGUAUGAAUAAAGUAGAAACCAACUACUAAGAUAAGAAAGAAAUAAAUUAAGAGUAAAGUACCGAAAGGGAAAAAUAAGAAAUAGAUUAACAGAGAGUAGUUAUAGUAUAACGUACCUUUUGUAUAAUGGGCCAGUGAGUUAUUAUAUUUAGUGAAAUAAAAAGAAUUAAAUUGAAAAAGGAUAGAAAAUUAAAUAUAAUAAGCCCGAAAGCAGACGAUCUAUUCAUCUACAAGUGUUGAUUAAAAAGAUUAAUCAAUGACUGAAUAAGUGGUUGUAGCAAUAACCUUUAAAGAUAGGUGAAUUGAAGUGAAAGACAAAUCUGGUUUGCCGAUAGCUGGUUUUCUGCGAAAUAUAUAUUAGUAUAGCCUUUAUAAAUGUUAAAACUGGUACAGCACUUAAAUACAUUUGGGGGAUUUAAUGAAUUCUAUCAAAGUAUUUAAAUCUCGGAAUCAGUUAAAAAAAAACAAAAAUAAGGAGUCAGACUUAUUGCGAUAAGGUAGUAAGUCGAAAGGGAAACAACCCAGACUAUUAAGUGAAAGUCCCAAAUAAUAACUAAGUGAACAUAAUCUAUUAGAUUAAGAUUAAAGACAAUUAGUAUGUGGGUUUGACAAUAACCAUCAUUUAAUGAACAUGUAACAAUGCACUAAUUUGAUAUAUAUAUAAGAUAUUAACAUAUAACCCCCGCAAGGGGAUGUGUAGAUAUUAAGAUAUAAGAAUAUUUACUUAAAAUAGAGUUAAUUCACGGGUCUAAGUAUAAAACUGAACUAUAGAUAUAAAAGAAAAUAUGGUAGCGGAAUAUAGAAUGAAAAAAAUAAAUUCUAGAGAUAUUGCUGGCUUGAGUAACGAUAGAUAAUAAAAAAUUAUCCUCCAAAAAUCAUAAGGUUUUACAAUAAACGAACGGUCCCUAAGAUAAAAAUAGAAAUAUAAAAAUUGAUGGGUGAAAAGACAAGUAAAAUAAAAAUAAACCGUACUGUAGACCGACACAGGUAUGAUAAAGGAGAAUGGGAUAACUACUUUGAAUGAACUCGGCAAAAUACGAAAAAAGUAAAAAGCGUGCGACUGUUUACCAAAAACACAGCCUAUUGCAUAUUAGAGAUAAUAAGUAUAAUAGGUGGAAUCUGCCCAGUGCUUCUUAAAUAAAAAUAUAUAUUGUAAAAGAUAAAUAAUUAAUGAGAAGUAAACGGCGGUCUUAUCGUGAGGAUCCUAAGGUAGCGAAAUUCCUAGACGUAUAAUUGACGUCCCGCAUGAAUGAAUGAACGAUGCGCAAACUGUAUCCAAAGUAGACCCAGUGAAAUAACAAUUACGGUGAAGUUUAGUGUUUAUAAUAUAUAUAAUAUAUUAUACGCCGGGUUGGUGAAAAUCCAACUUUAUAGUUUUAUUUUUAAUCUACUUCUCUCUUUUUAAGAGGGAAAUAGAUCCUCAGGUUAUACCGGAGGUUUCUAUUAUUAUAUUUAUAAUAAUAUAAUAGUUAAGAGUAUAGGUAAACCCUAUACUAAGCCCUACUCAGUCAUAUAACGAUUGAGUAUUAUUUUGGUAUAUUUUAUAUAAAAAAUCUUACAAAAAGAGAUAAAUUUUAUCUUUUACGUAAGGUAUUUAUAAGACCUUAUAUAUUUUAAGUAAACAAUAACAAUGAAUAAAUUUUAUCUUUGAUUAACCGGAUUUGUAGAUGGAGAAGGAUAUUUUAAUAUCUCUCCAACUAAUAGAAAUGGAAAAAUAACAAACUUUAAUUUUAUAUUAAAAUUAUCUCUACAUAUAGAAGAUAUACAAGUAUUAGAACAUAUUAGAUAUAUGUUGAAUAUGGGUAGAAUAACUAAAGAUAUAAAUAGAAGUGAAUGUUCUCUAACUAUUACAAAACUUGAAGAUAUUAAUAAUUUAAUUAAUAUCUUUGAUAAAUAUAAAUUAAACUCAACUAAAUAUUUAGAUAAUUUAGAUUUUAAAGAUGCUUAUAAUUAAUAUGUAAAUAGAGUAGAAUAUAAUGAAGAAUUAGUUUAAAAAAUAAUAUUAUAAAAAAAUAAAAUGAAUAAUAAUAGAACUGAUUUUAAUAUAUACACCUAUGAGAAUAUAAAUUGAGCAGAACAUAUAAAUAUAUCUAAAUAUUGAUUAUUAGGUUUAAUAGAAGGUGAAGGUUCAUUUAACUUUUGAAGAGAUGAAUUAAAACCUACUUUUGCAUUAGUAUUAACAGAGGUUCAACUUCCGUUAUUAUUAAAAAUUAAAACAUUUUAAAUAAAAGUAUUGAAUUUAGAUGAAUAUUCUUUAUUUAAAAUGAAUAAUACAUCUACUAUAAACUUAAAUUAUAAUAAAGCAAGAAAUAAUUCAAAACCUAGUUAUAGAUUAUUAAUCAAAAAUAUUUGAAUAAUUAUUUUAUGCCUUUUAUUUUAUCAAUGAAAGAUCUAUUUAUAUCUAAAAAAUAUAAUGAUUUUAAAGUUUAUUAGUUAGUGCAGUUUAUUAUGGUUUACAUUUAAACCCUUCUUUUAGUAAAAUUAUGUUAAAAUUAAGUUAUAAUAUGAAUAAUUAUUGCUUAUCUAAUAAUACGAAAUUACCACCUAAAGAAUGAUUUACAAAUGAAUCAAAUGUAAAUGUUGUAGAUUAUACAGUUAAUAAAGUUGAAAAAGAUUUAUUAGUAUUUAAUACUGAAAAUAAUCCUAUAUUUAAGCAUCUAGAAGAUGGUAGAAUAUUAAAUUUAUUAAUUAAUACAAUAGUUAGAAACAAAACAUCUUGUAUUUAUAAAGUAAGUAAUUUAAAAGAUGAUAAUAUACAUUUAUACCCGGUAACACCUGGUAAAUUAUUUAUAACUUUAGCUGAUGUAGCUAAAUUUAUAGGUAUUAGAAAUGAUAAGUUAAGUAGAUUAUUUAAAUAUACUAAUUAUGAAAAUUAUAUUAUUUAUAAUACAUAUAAAAUUGAAAGAGUUAGAGUUUUAUAUAAAAAUAUAUAUAUCUCUCCUGAUAAUAUUAGGAGGGGUAAGGAAUUAGUGAAUAAAAGGGUAGAUUAAAUUUAGAUUAAAGUGGAAAAUUAAUGACUUAUGAAAUAUGAUUAGUCAUGCUUAUAAUAAGUACUUAAGAAUACAAUCGAAUAAUUUUCCCCCUAUUCCCUUAUAUCUUUAUGAUAUAGUUGGGAACAAUAAAGGGUUAAAAUCUAGAAUAAGGCAAAAUUAGAUUUUAAACGCUAUAAAUAAAAAGGUGAAAACGGUCAAUGACAUCUUAGUUAAAGACCGUCGGCAGUUGUAUAUGUCGCUACAGACUGGUUCACCGAGGUUGGGCUGAAAUGCCCGUCUAAAUGUACAGUCGGAUUUUGUAAUGUAUAUAUUUUAAUAUAUAUAUAAAGGUGAAAGAUAUUUAAUAUAAAAUAAGAAAGUAUUGCUCUCUUAUAAGUAUUAAAAGCUUAUUAAACACAUAAGUAAGAAUCCUUUAUAGGUCAAACCUAUUUAAGUUAAUCAAAAUUGGAAGAUCCCGAAUAGCUGUAGAUUGACAAAAAGACCCUAUGCAGCUUUACUAUAAUUUUAUUUUGACUAUAUUAAAUAAAAUAUUUAAUAAAAUUAUAUAACAUUUCAGAUUAGAUUAGGUAAAAUUCAGUAUUUCCUUAUACUUAUAAUAAGGAAUGAUUUUAAUAUAAGAAUGAUAUGAAUAAAAUGAGAUACCUAUAUGUUAUAUAAUAUUGUCUUAUUUAUUUUAUAAAAAAGAAAUAAAGACAGAGUAAAAUGGUUAGUUUCGAUGGGGCGUCGACUUCAGACAACACAUCUGAUGUGUCUAAUAAUUAUAAUAAUAAAUUAAAAUUUUUAUAUAAUAGUAUAUAACGUACAAUAGAACUAUAUGGUAAAUAGUUAUGAAAUGAAAUAAUGCAAGGAUAACAACAUAAUUGUGCAAUGAUAAUGACACUAACAAGUGAAAUUAGUACUUACGUAGAGUGUAGAGAACAGGCAUAAUCAAAUGGUAUGGAUGUCGAUAACGAAUUAAAGUUACGCUAGGGAUGGUAAUUGUCCCUGUAAAAUUAGUUUUCAUUUAAAAACUAAUUUCCUUCUUAAGAAGGUUAAAAUUGGCUCGAUUAAAUGACGAUAGUCGAGAUUAAAUGGAGUUAAUUGCAUGAAACCUAAGGUAUAUUUAUAUACUAUGGUGAUUUGCAGCGAAGUUUAUUAUAUAUGAAACAUAAAAUAGUAUUUUAUGUUAAGUAAUAAAAACGUUCAACGACUAGUCAAUGAGUACAUAUAACAAUAAUUUGACCACGAAAGCUCCAAGUUGUAUAUAAAUUUAUAAUAUCAAAAAUAUAUAAGUAGACCCCCUUUAAGGGGGGUUAAUUAUCUUCUUAUAAAGAUAAUUAAUUAUUUAAAAUGGGAUUAAUUAAAGGCAUAAUUAAAUAGAAGAAUUUAAAUUAUAUAACUUAAGCAAUGAAUAAAAACAAUAAAAACAUAUUGUCAAAAAAAUGAUAAAACUGAAAAUUAAAUCAACCUAAUUUAACAGACUAUCAAAUAUCAGUAUUUAUAGGUAUGAUAUUAAGUGAUGCUAGCAUUAUAAAAACAGGAAAGUAUGCAUAUGUAAAAUUUGAACAAGGACAUGCUCAAAAAGAGUUUACCCCCGCACAGCGGGAGUGAACCACCUUGUUUAUUGAAACUUUGUUUAAUAUAUUUAAAACUCAUUGUUUUCAAGAAAAAAUAAGUGUAAGAUUAAAAAAUAAUAAAAUUCAUAGUGGAUUUAAAACUUUUUCACAUCCUACAUUUGAUUCUAUAUAUGAUCUAUUUUAUAAUGGAACUAAAGUAAAAACUAUUUUUCCUAAUUUUAUAUUAGAACAUGUAAAUGAAAUAGUUUUAGCAUAUUGAAUUAUGGGUGAUGGAUCUUUACAUAAAAUUUACACUUUACAUACUGGUGGUUUUAGUUAUAAUGAAUGUGUUAUUAUAUCAACUGAAUGGCCCGGCGAAGCCGGGGUAUAAUCCCGCGUUGCGGGAUCAUUAAAUAAACUAUUCAAUUUAAAUUCAAGUGUUAAAAUAGCAAAAAAUAAUAUAAAUAGGACUUCCUAUAUGAUAGUCUUUAAAGCUAUUGAUACAUUAACUAUUAAAUCUUUAAUAGAAUCUCAUAUUAUAGAUAUAUUUAAAUAUAAAAUAGAUAAAGGAGAGCGUCGCCUUCCUUAAUCAUUUACAUAACAUGUAAGUAAAUUUGAUAGUAAAAAAUCUAUAAUAUCUGCAUUUUGUGCAGUUAAACUCCCCCCUGGGGAAAUACAAUUAAGACAUAGUCUAAACUAUAUAGAAAUAUAUAGAAGUUAGUAUAAAGAGGCUAACGAUAAUAUAAUUGGUCGUCUAAACUCAUCCUCCUAGUUGCAGCAGCCAGGUAGGGUUGGACUGUUCGUCCAUUAAAGAGUUACUUGAGAUGGGUUAAUUACGACGUGAGUCAGUAAUGAUUUUAUCAUCUAUAGCUAAGACUCAAAAUUAUGACCUUAAGUGUACGCAAGGAUAGUAAGGUGAUUUCCAAUGGUAAAAUUAUAUAUAUAUAUAUAUAAAUAAAGCUAAGAAAUUAAUGUUUACAUAUUGAAAGCAUAUCAAAUAUAAAAUCACAUAAUAAUAGAGUUAUGACAUUGAAUAUAACAAUGAAAUAGUAAAAUCGGUAUAACCGAGAAAAACUAAUUAUAAAAUACAUAUACCU
rnacentral:rRNA from 1 species